rnacentral:lncRNA from 1 species
UAAAAAGUAUAUGUUUAAGAGAUGGUAAUUUGUCUUUUUGUCUGGGGCAACAUGAAUGCUAGAGCAGGAGCUGAGUUCUUCUAUCUUCAAAGGAAAAUUGCACAAACAAUUCAUGAAGAAAUGUCAGUUGUGUAUGUUGAGAAUAUCCAUCAUAUGAGACUGUGAAACAAUGGAAACAGAAUUACAAAUGAGAUGACAUCAGCCUACAGGAUGGCCAAGAGAAGGCCUCUAUCAAUAGCCACAGAGCCAAGUGUGGUGGCAAAAUUUGACCAGCUAUUACUUGAAGACAGAUGUGUGACAAUUAAUUUCUUAGUUAGGGAGGCAAACAUUACUAGAUGGCUAGUUAUCAAGAUAAAAAGAUGGUUUGCUAUUAAAAAGUGUAUUGCAGCUAACAGCAACACUUUUUAAUAGCAAACCAUAUCUUUUAAUACACCUGCAUACUGAGCUGCAGAAAUAGUUUCUUUUCUGCACAAAUAUGGUUAUGGAAC